rnacentral:rRNA from 1 species
CGCGUAGGCGGUUUAUCAAGCUUGAUGUGAAAUCUCCCGGCUUAACCGGGAAUCCGCGUUGAGAACUGUUAGACUAGAGUAUAAGAGGGGGAGUUGGAAUUCCUAGUGUAGGGGUGAAAUCUGUAGACAUUAGGAAGAACACCGGUGGCGAAGGCGAACUCCUGGCUAUAUACUGACGCUGAGGCGCGAAAGUGUGGGGAGCGAACAGGAUUAGAUACCCUGGUAGUCC